UACAGAGACUGCAAGCGUUAUUCGGAUUCACUGGGCGUAAAGAGCGCGCAGGCGGUCGUUCAAGUCGCGUGUGAAAGCCCCCGGCUCAACUGGGGAGGGUCACGCGAUACUGAUCGACUGGAAGGCAGGAGAGGAGAGCGGAAUUCCCGGUGUAGAGGUGAAAUUCGUAGAUAUCUGGAGGAACACCGGUGGCGAAGGCGGCAUCCUGGACCGGCAUUGACGCUGAGGAGCGAAAGCCAGGGGAGCAAACGGG
rnacentral:rRNA from 1 species